CACGUAGGGUGCGAGCGUUGUCCGGAAUUAUUGGGCGUAAAGAGCUCGUAGGCGGUGUGUCGCGUCGGCCGUGAAAACCUGCAGCUUAACUGUGGGCUUGCGGUCGAUACGGGCAUCACUGGAGUUCGGCAGGGGAGACUGGAAUUCCUGGUGUAGCGGUGAAAUGCGCAGAUAUCAGGAGGAACACCGGUGGCGAAGGCGGGUCUCUGGGCCGAUACUGACGCUGAGGAGCGAAAGCGUUGGGAGCGAACAGG
rnacentral:rRNA from 1 species